rnacentral:rRNA from 1 species
CAGUCGCCACGGUAAUACAGAGGGUGCGAGCGUUAAUCGGAUUUACUGGGCGUAAAGCGUGCGUAGGCGGCUUCUUAAGUCGGAUGUGAAAUCCCUGAGCUUAACUUAGGAAUUGCAUUCGAUACUGGGAAGCUAGAGUAUGGGAGAGGAUGGUAGAAUUCCAGGUGUAGCGGUGAAAUGCGUAGAGAUCUGGAGGAAUACCGAUGGCGAAGGCAGCCAUCUGGCCUAAUACUGACGCUGAGGUACGAAAGCAUGGGGAGCAAACAGGAUUAGAACCCCAGUAGUCCCUGUCUCUUAUACA